rnacentral:rRNA from 1 species
CCUACGGGUGUCAGCAGUUGGGCAUAUUGCACAAUGGGGGAAACCCUGAUGCCGCGACGCCGCGUGAGUGAAGAAGUAUUUCGGUAUGUAAAGCUCUAUCAGCAGGGACGAUAAUGACGGUACCUGACUCAGCAGCCCCGGCUAACUACGUGCCAGCAGCCGCGGUAAUACGUCGGGGGCAAGCGUUAUCCGGAUUUACUGGGUGUAAAGGGAGCGUAGGUGGCAGGGCAAGUCAGAUGGGAAAACCCGGGGCUCAACCCCGGGAGUGCAUUUGAACCUGUCCAGCGGGAGUGCAGGAGAGGUAAGCGGAAUGCGUAGUGUAGCGGUGAAAUGCAUAGAUAUUAGGAGGAACACCAGUGGCGAAGGCGGCUUACUGGACUGUAACUGACACUGAGGCUCGAAAGCGUGGGGAGCAAACAGGAUUAGAUACCCGAGUAGUC